AAUCAACGCUGGCGGCGUGCCUCAGACAUGCAAGUCGAACGAUUAAGACUUCCUUCGGGAAGUGUAAAAAGUGGCGCACGGGUGAGUAACACGUAAGUAAUCUACCCUCGAGUGGGGAAUAACGUUCGGAAACGAACGCUAAUACCGCAUAAUGCAGCGGCAUCGCAAGAUGACAGUUGUUAAAGGAGUAAUUCGCUUGAGGAGGAGCUUGCGGCAGAUUAGCUAGUUGGUAAGGUAACGGCUUACCAAGGCUACGAUCUGUAUCCGGUCUAAGACGACGGUCGGACACACUGACACUGAAUAACGGGUCAGACUCCUACGGGAGGAAGCAGUCGGGAAUUUUGGGCAAUGGGCGAAAGCCUGACCCAGCAACGCCGCGUGAAGGAUGAAGUAUUUCGGUAUGUAAACUUCGAAAGAAUGGGAAGAAUAAAUGACGGUACCAUUUAUAAGCUCCGGCUAACUACGUGCCAGCCGCCGCCGUAAGAC
rnacentral:rRNA from 1 species